rnacentral:rRNA from 1 species
UACGUAGGGUGCGAGCGUUGUCCGGAAUUAUUGGGCGUAAAGAGCUCGUAGGCGGCCUGUUGCGUCGGUUGUGAAAGCCCGGGGCUUAACCCCGGGUCUGCAGUCGAUACGGGCAGGCUAGAGUUCGGUAGGGGAGAUCGGAAUUCCUGGUGUAGCGGUGGAAUGCGCAGAUAUCAGGAGGAACACCGGUGGCGAAGGCGGAUCUCUGGGCCAUAACUGACGCUGAGGAGCGAAAGCAUGGGGAGCGAACAGG